GAGUGGAAGCAUGAUGGUUGUGCGGCCGAUUUGAAAUCGGUCUAUUGGCGGUUCGAUUCCGUCCCGUCUCG
rnacentral:tRNA from 1 species